AAUACGUUCCUGAGCCUUGUACACACCGCCCGUCAAGCCACGAAAGUGGGGUGCACGCGAAGUCGCUAAGCUAACCUUCGGGAGGCAGGCGCCGAACGUGAACUCCGCGAUUGGGACUAAGUCGUAACAAGGUAGCCGUAGGGGAACCUGCGGCUGGAUCACCUCCUU
rnacentral:rRNA from 1 species